rnacentral:rRNA from 1 species
UACGUAGGUGGCAAGCGUUGUCCGGAUUUACUGGGCGUAAAGGGCGUGCAGGCGGUCUGUUAAGUCUAGGGUGAAAUCCCCGGGCUCAACCUGGGAAUUGCAUUUGUGACUGCACGGCUAGAGUGUGUCAGAGGGGGGUAGAAUUCCACGUGUAGCAGUGAAAUGCGUAGAGAUGUGGAGGAAUACCGAUGGCGAAGGCAGCCCCCUGGGAUAACACUGACGCUCAUGCACGAAAGCGUGGGGAGCAAACAGG